rnacentral:tRNA from 1 species
CGUUGUAGCUCAACUGGUAGAGCAUCUGACUUGUAAUCAGAGGGUUGGGGGUUCAAGUCCUCUCGACG